CCCUUAGAUGUUCUGGGCCGCACGCGCGCUACACUGAUGCAUGCAACGAGUUCUAUCCUUGGCCGGAAGGCCUGGGUAAUCUGUGAACGUGCAUCGUGAUAGGGAUAGAUUAUUGCAAUUAUUAAUCUUGAACGAGGAAUUCCUAGUAAACGCAAGUCAUCAGCUUGCAUUGAUUACGUCCCUGCCCUUUGUACACACCGCCCGCCGCACCUACCGAUCGAAGGUAAUGAUGAGCCCUCAGGAUUGUGGCCUCGUCGCGUCAGCGUCUUGGCUGCGAGAAUCUGUGCAAAUCCCUACCUUUAGAGGAAGGUGAAGUCGUAACA
rnacentral:rRNA from 1 species